rnacentral:rRNA from 1 species
CAAUAGCGUAUAUUAAAGUUGUUGCGGUUAAAAAGCUCGUAGUUGGAUUUCUGCCGAGGACGACCGGUCCGCCCUGUGGGUGAGCAUCUGGAUCGGCCUGGGCAUCUUCUUGGGGAACGUAGCUGCACUUGACUGUGUGGUGCGGUAUCCAGGACUUUUACCUUGAGGAAAUUAGAGUGUUUCAAGCAGGCAUAAGCCAUGAAUACACAAGCAUGGAAUAAUAGAAAAGGACUAUGGUCCAUUUUGUUGGUUAUUGGACCUUAGUAAUGAUUAAUAGGGACAGUUGGGGGCAUUAGUAUUUAAUUGUCAGAGGUGAAAUUCUUGGAUUUAUUAAAGACUAACUUAUGCGAAAGCAUUUGCCAAGGAUGUUUUCAUUAA